UAGUCCACGCUGUAAACGCUGUCAACUAGCUGUUGGGCUGUAAAAGGCGCAGUAGCGAAGCUAACGUAUUAAGUUGACCGCCUGGGGAGUACGGCCGCAAGGCUAAAACUCAAAGGAAUUGACGGGGAUCCGCACAAGCGGUGGAGCAUGUGGUUUAAUUCGAUGCAACGCGAAAAACCUUACCUACUCUUGACAUCCUAGGAAGCUUUCAGAGAUGGAGGCGUGCCUUUUGGAACCUAGAGACAGGUGCUGCAUGGCUGUCGUCAGCUCGUGUUGUGAGAUGUUGGGUUAAGUCCCGUAACGAGCGCAACCCUUGUCCUUAGUUGCCAGCGAGUAAAGUCGGGAACUCUAAGGAGACUGCCGGUGAGAAACCGGAGGAAGGUGGGGACGACGUCAAGUCAUCAUGGCCCUUAUGAGUAGGGCUACACACGUGCUACAAUGGGCAGUACAGAGGGAAGCGAAGCGGUGACGUGGAGCGAAUCCUAUAAAGCUGUUCUUAGUCCGGAUUGGAGU
rnacentral:rRNA from 1 species